GACGAACGCUGGCGGCGUGCUUAACACAUGCAAGUGGUGCGACGAACCAGGCUUCGGCCUGGGGCGAAGCCGCGAACGGGUGAGUAACACGUGGGCAAUCUGCCCCUUUGAUCGGGACAACCCGGGGAAACCCGGGCUAAUACCGAAUGAGGUGGCGACUCAUGAGAGUCGUCACGAAAGGAAGCUUCGGCCUCCGCGAAGGGAUGAGCCCGCGGCCCAUUAGCUUGUUGGUGGGGUAAUGGCCUACCAAGGCAACGAUGGGUAGCUGGUCUGAGAGGACGAUCAGCCACACUGGGACUGAGACACGGCCCAGACUCCUACGGGAGGCAGCAGUGGGGAAUCUUGCGCUAAUGCGGGAAACCGUGACGCAGCGACGCCGCGUGAGGGAAGAAGGCCUUCGGGUUGUAAACCUCUUUCAGGAGGGACGAAGCCACUCGGGUGAAUAGCCCAGAGGGUGACGGUACCUCCAGAAGAAGCCCCGGCUAACUACGUGCCAGCCGCCGCAGUAAUAC
rnacentral:rRNA from 1 species